rnacentral:misc_RNA from 1 species
GCAAACUUGGUCAUUUAGAGGAAGUAAAAGUCGUAACAAGGUAACCGUAGGUGAACCUGCGGUUGGAUCAUUACUGGAUCUGCUACACCCAUGCGCUCGCUGGGCUUGCCCGCUUGCCGCGUGGUCUUGGGCGUCGGACCCCACGUGGGAAAGAUUCCUGACAUAUAUGUGAACCGUGCUGUCUCUGGCGGCUGGGCUUAUCCGAAGGCGCCGGCGGCAAGGAUGCCGUCGGCGUCUGGGUUUGCCUGUCAGCUUCCUGGCCAUAGAGCUCGCCUCACUCCGACUGGCGUGGGCGGCGCGACGGACAGAAGCCGUGGACAAACCGCCAACCACUUGCAUAAUCAACCAUUUGCGUCGAGCACUUUGUCUGACCUAUGUUUGUCUUGCGACAAUUGAGCAAAACAACUUUUGGCAACGGAUCUCUUGGCUCUCGCAUCGAUGAAGAACGCAGC